GGCUUCUUGGUCGAGUGGUAAAGACACUUGCGUCUCUCGCGCUGGAGUCCCGGGUUCAAUCCCCGAUCCAGGAGAUA